GUACGGAAGGCAGCAACGCCGCGUGGGUGAAGAAGGCCUUCGGGUCGUAAAGCCCUGUCAGGUGGGAAGAACGUCCCCGGAAAUAACGAGUUCGGGGAGUGACGGUACCACCAUAGGAAGCACCGGCUACUCCGUGCCAGCAGCCGCGGUAAUACGGAGGGUGCAAGCGUUAUUCGGAAUUACUGGGCGUAAAGCGCGUGCAGGCGGGUGUACAAGUCUGAUGUGAAAGCCCCGGGCUCAACCUGGGAAGUGCAUUGGAAACUGUACAUCUUGAGUGCUGGAGAGGAAGGGGGAAUUCCCGGUGUAGAGGUGAAAUUCGUAGAGAUCGGGAGGAAUACCAGUGGCGAAGGCGCCCUUCUGGACGGCAACUGACGCUGAGACGCGAAAGCGUGGGGAGCAAACAGGAUUAGAUACCCCGGU
rnacentral:rRNA from 1 species